GAAUUCAUUGAAGAGUUGCUGUCUCCCCCUUUUGGGGGUUUAGUGGCAUUUGUGAAGGAGGCUGAGGCUUUGAUUGAGCGUGGACAGGCUGAGCGACUUCGAGGGGAAGAAGCCCGGGUAACUCAGCUGAUCCGUGGCUUCGGUAGUUCCUGGAAAUCAUCAGUGGAAUCUCUGAGUCAGGAUGUAAUGCGGAGUUUCACCAACUUCAGAAAUGGCACCAGUAUCAUUCAGGGAGCGCUGACCCAGCUGAUCCAGCUCUAUCAUCGCUUCCACCGGGUGCUGUCCCAGCCGCAGCUCCGAGCCCUCCCUGCCCGGGCUGAGCUCAUCAACAUUCACCACCUUAUGGUGGAGCUCAAGAAGCAUAAGCCCAACUUCUGAUGUGCUGGAAACCGCCCUGAGAUCUGCCAG
rnacentral:sRNA from 1 species